rnacentral:rRNA from 1 species
UACGUAGGGGGCUAGCGUUGUCCGGAAUCAUUGGGCGUAAAGAGCGCGUAGGCGGCUAGAUAAGUCCGGUGUGAAAGUCACAGGCUCAACCUGUGAAUGCCGCUGGAAACUGUCUGGCUAGAGUCCGGAAGGGGCGAGUGGAAUUCCUGGUGUAGCGGUGAAAUGCGCAGAUAUCAGGAGGAACACCAAUGGCGAAGGCGGCACUCUGGGCCGAUACUGACACUGAGGAGCGAAAGCGUGGGGAGCGAACAGG